CUGUAAAUGUAAAUGGUGUGAAUAGGGCUAGGGUAACCCAGGUGUCCAGGAGCUCCUUCUGAAGCUCUACACCAUGGAGACACAGUGCUGAGAUGGACGUGUUGUAAAUAAUUAGAUGGAAGGCUGUUUGAUCGUCAGACUGAGACAAAGAUCUUUAUUUAUUUGAUUUUAACAUCAGUGAUUCAGUUCAUGUUGUUUUGGUACUUUAACUACUUCAUGUUAUUGAACCCCAACACAUGUUCCUGUAGUGUUUACUUGUGCAGGAAACUACGUGAGGGACGUAGUGAAGGGAAGUUCAGCUCUGAAUUCGAAGAAGCGUCGAUCGGCAUGCUGCGGAAGUGCUGCACGGGGUGCGCUUCCUGUGUUCUGUGUCUCCUUAUCAUCACACCAUCAGCACAUCAUCAUUCUGGCUUGUUCUGCAAAAACCUUUCUUUUCUCCUCGUCCUCCUCCUCCUCCUCCUCCUCCUCCUCAGUGUUUAGUGUAUAGUUUAUAGUGAACUGAGGGACGCUGAACUCCAGAUGAGCAGAGACGCUGUUGUGUGGCAGGAAAAUGAUCUUGUAUUUUGUUUUCUAUUUUUGAUUUAAUCCAAUAAACGUACAAAUCUGUAACAACAUUGUUUUCGUAAUGCACCAUAGUGAUGUCAUGGCUAUUGAUGUCAAGGCUAACCCUACAACCGGCACCACACGCAGUCCAGCACAGAACAUCAGACAUGAAGAGCGCAAUUUGUGCUUUAAUCUUGAGAAAUGUCGGUAUUUCACCGCAUCACACAUCAAAUACACCUGGUGUUUCGAAAAAAAAGAAAAACGUGAAUGUAGACUGCAAGCGCGUGCCGUGCGGUUUGAUUAUCUCUCUCUCUAACUAUCUCUCACUGCAGAGCUGGAGGAAAACCUUCAGCGAUCCACCGCAUCACUGCACUUCACGGGCAGAGUGGGGUGUCGUUGUUGUUUGAGUUUUGGUGGACACGCUACAGCGUCGGAACACACCGACGUGCACAAGGAGCACCGGAAAUGAAUUCAAGCAGAACUAAAAAUGAGUAUUUCAUGCUACACAACACUCCUUAAAGAUCUACCGCAGAGCUUCGAGAACGGAUUCCGUAACCUGAAAAGGCCUAAAAUUGUGCAGAUCUCUUCCUCUUAGCUGCUUGUGAUGGAUGAAGAUCAGUCUGAAGUGGAGAUGCUUGAACUUUCUGGAGUUUUGGAAAACUGACCAGCCCGUGGACCGGCCCGUGGACCGGCACGUGGACCAGCCCGUGGACCGGCACGUGGACCAGCCCGUGGACCGGCACGUGGACCAGCCCGUGGACCGGCCCGUGGUUGUGAAUCAGUUGUUAUUUAAACCUUGUAAUCGAACAAAUCUCUCUACAAGUGAAAAUAUUACUUCAUGUACCCACAACUGAACACAAGCCCGACGUCCCACUGAGAUAAGAUCAUCUACAUGUCAGGGGAGGGGUGAUGAACACACGGCAGUGCACCUGUGUAUAUGACAGAGCAGUGAUCAAACCCAUCUCAGAAUCUCUACAGGACCAGGUUAAGGAUCAUCUCUGACUUGCUGUCAUGGCCGAAAUGAACGUUCUCGCCGAUUUUCUGCAGAAGCCGCUGGGGAAAAUGGGGAUCAUCAGCCUUUUACUUUACGCUUUCGAGGAAAACAUAGACGAUGAUUUUAUUUGUCCUUGCGAACGAGUCGAGAACAUAGUGACGUCUCUUUUGUACGGCGUAGUGCCUUCCAUUGGGUCCUUCUUCGUGUCUUAUCGUGUCAUGGACUCACCUGACCGCAGUCAGUAUAAAUGUCUGUACUCUGUCCUCACAGCUGUAGUCUGGAUGGUUCUCUGCCUAAUCGACGGACGCUACCUGACCUGCGCGCUUUCGGGUUCGGAAGGCAAGUACACCGAAACCGACACGUUAAAAUGGUGCAUGCCUUCUGAAGACAACGCAACGCUCCUUUUGGAGAGCGAGUACAAGACUCAGGUGUUGAUGUCCAAGUCUCAGGAAAUAGGUUUCUACGUGAUCGUGAUUAUGAUUGUUUCCUUUCUCGUGGCUGGAUUUCGGAAGUGCAGAACAAACACGAGCACAUCUGAGAUGGAAAUGUCAUAAGUUAAACUGCACGGUGGAAAUUCAGCGUACGGCGUCCUUGUAAAAAUCAACGUUCCUCUUGUGCUUUAAAUCAUCAUAAUCAUAAUCAUAAUCAUAAUCAUAACUUCUAUAUUUAGCUAAAAUUCUAUCUUGUCCGAUUGUUCACACUUCAGAGCUGACCUCACUGUUACAGUCUGAAGUGUUUUGUUUUCUGCUGUAACUUUACAUCUUAAACAAAAAAAUCAAUUUCCUUUAUUUUUUGUGUUUUAUGUUAGCUAGGGUUCUUUUUUCUUUUCCACUGAACCAAAUGAAAACGCAUAACAAUGUAGGAACGAAUUCCGGCUAAACGUUUAUACACAUGUCGUGUGUUUUUAGAGAUGAUAUACAGUAUAUGUAUACGUGUACAAUGCACUUCAUGACUUCGGUAUUUUACGGUUAUAUCAUGAUAAAGAUUCGUUUUUGAGAUAUGAGAAGUUUUAAUAUUCCAGUAAAAAAAAAUUAAAACUCUAAAGUAUCAUCAA